CGAUCGUAUUUCACCAGAGGACUAAGAUAAAACAACUCGAUUUAAAAUGUGAGCAGUUUUAGUGGAUCUGACGUCGAGGGAAAAAGUAUUUUUGUUUGGAGAUGAACGAGACAACACGAGGCACAGCGACAUAAAUAUGACCAACCAGAUCCCAAGUAGACAGGAACAAAUGAAGAUAUAGCGCAUAGAAAGACUUAUUCUUGGUGAUCAACUGCUAUUGACAUUUUUGAAUCGGGACAAAUGUGGAGUGAUUCGGAAGAAAAACGUUUGCAACACAUCCAUUCCAGGUGGCUAAUUUCUGUCCUUUUGAAUUAUUCUUGUAAA